rnacentral:rRNA from 1 species
GUGCCAGCAGCCGCGGUAAUACGAGGGGUGCAAACGUUAUUCGGAUUUAUUGGGCGUAAAGGGUUUGUAGACGGCACGCUAAGUCAGUUGUUAAAUCUCCCGGCUUAACCGGGAUACAGCGACAGAUACUGGCAUGCUAGAGGAUGGAAGAGAGAAGUGGAAUUCUUGGAGUAGCGAUAAAAUGCGUAGAUCUCAAGAGGAACACCGAUGGCGAAGGCAGCUUCUUGGUCCAUUCCUGACGUUGAUAAACGAAAGCGUGGGGAGCAAACAGGAUUAGAUACCCUGGUAGUCCACGCCGUAAACGAUGAUCACUAGACGUCAGUUCUGCUUGCAGAAUUGGUGUCGUAGCUAACGCGUUAAGUGAUCCGCCUGGGGAUUACGGUCGCAAGACUAAA